UUUAAGGUUUGACCUGCCCAAUGAUAUUAUUUAAUGGCUGCGGUAAUUUGACCGUACAAAGGUAGCAUAAUCAUUAGUUUUUUAAUUGAAAGCUGGUAUGAAUGGUUGGACGAGAAAAAAGCUGUCUCAUUUUAAUUGAUUUAAAAUUUUAUUUUUAAGUUAAAAAGCUUAAAUAAUAUUGAAAGACGAGAAGACCCUAUAGAGUUUUAUAUAUUAUUUUGUUUGUAGUUAAAUGAAUAGUUUCGAUUUUAAUAGACUAAUAUAUUUUGUUGGGGUGAUGGAAAAAUUUAUAAAACUUUUUCUUUUGUAUUACAUUAAUUUAUGAUUAUUUGAUCCAUAUAUAAUGAUUAUAAGAUUAAAUUACCUUAGGGAUAACAGCGUAAUUUUUUUUGAGAGUUCAAAUCGAUAAAAAAGAUUGCGACCUCGAUGUUGGAUUAAAAUUAAUUUUAGGUGCAGCAGCUUAAAAGGUAAGUCUGUUCGACUUAUAAAAUUUUACAUGAUCUGAGUUUAAACCGGUGUGAGCCAGGUUGGUUUCUAUCUUUAAUUUAAAUAUAUGUCUUAGUACGAAAGGACUUGGCAUAUACAAAAUUUGUUUAAAUUAUGAAUAUUAAUA
rnacentral:rRNA from 1 species